GCCGGAGCGGUGGGACUCCUCCUUGGCGGUGGGUGCCGCGAGGGCGCCCGCCCCUCGAGAGCCCUGAGUGAAGACGCCGGGAGGAGCGCCCGACCGCGGCGACGCAGGUUGAUAUCAAAAUUGGAAGUUUUCUAGUUAUUAGAAAUUGAAAGUAUGGCAGCAGAAUUUAUAAAGAGUUGUUGUAGAGGAUGUCUCUAUGGCGAAACAGAAAAGCAGAAGUUUUCUGUGGACAGAGACUUUAAAGCAACAGCCUCAAAUAGCCAAAAUACCAUUGGUAUACCUCCAUUGACUUCUGUUUUAGUAAAGCCUCAAGUUGGCUGUAAUGAAGAUUAUUUGCUUUCCAAAUUACCAUGUGAUGGUAAAGAAGUACAAUUUGUGGUGCCCAGGUUUAAAUUAUCUUAUAUUCAACCUAGGACACAAGGAAUUCCUUCACAUCUGGAUGAACUGGAAGGU